rnacentral:rRNA from 1 species
GAUGAACGCUGGCGGCGUGCCUAAUACAUGCAAGUCGAGCGAAGCCUGGAGUGGCGAGUACCACGUGGAUAACCUCCUAUAAGCCUCGGAGAACUUCGGGAAUCCUGAGCCCACCCUGAUACUCAUCGCUGGUUGAGCGCUGCAUUAGCUAGUUGGUAAGGUGACGGCUUAGAAAGGCACCAAUGCAUAUCCGACCUGCGAGGUUGAUCGCCGAAACUGGAACUGGAAAACGGUCGAGACGCCUACGGGAGGAAGCAGGAGGGAAUCUACGGAAAUGGUCGAAAGCCUGACGGAGCAACGCCGCGUGAGUGAUGAAGGUCUUCGGAUCGUAAAACUCUGUUAUUAAGGAAGCGGUACCUAAUCAGAAAGCCACGGCUAACUACGUGCCAGCAGCCGCGGUAAUAC